UUCUAAGUAUAAAUAUGUCCCAUGCAAUAUUUGGGACAUAUAUAUAUUGAAA
rnacentral:pre_miRNA from 1 species